GGAUAACCUACCCUUAGGACUGGGAUAGCCCUGGGAAACUGGGGCUAAUACCGGAUAGGCAAUUUUUCCUGGAAUGGUUUUUUGUUUAAAUGUUUUUUCGCCUAAGGAUGGGUCUGCGGCCGAUUAGGUAGUUGGUUAGGUAAUGGCUUACCAAGCCGUUGAUCGGUACGGGUUGUGAGAGCAAGAGCCCGGAGAUGGAACCUGAGACAAGGUUCCAGGCCCUACGGGGUGCAGCAGGCGCGAAACCUCCGCAAUGUGAGAAAUCGCGACGGGGGGAUCCCAAGUGCCAUUCUUAACGGGAUGGCUUUUCAUUAGUGUAAAGAGCUUUUGGAAUAAGAGCUGGGCAAGACCGGUGCCAGCCGCCGCGGUAACACCGGCAGCUCUAGUGGUAACAAUUUUUAUUGGGCCUAAAGCGUCCGUAGCCGGUUUAAUAAGUCUCUGGUGAAAUCCUGUAGCUUAACUGUGGGAAUUGCUGGAGAUACUAUUAGACUUGAGACCGGGAGAGGUUAGAGGUACUCCCAGGGUAGAGGUGAAAUUCUGUAAUCCUGGGAGGACCGCCUGUUGCGAAGGCGUCUAACUGGAA
rnacentral:rRNA from 1 species